rnacentral:rRNA from 1 species
GAUGAACGCUAGCGGCAGGCUUAAUGCAUGCAAGUCGAGGGACAGCACAGGUAGCAAUACUGGGUGGUAACCGGCAAACGGGUGUGGAACACGUACACAACCUUCCUUUAAGUGGGGGAUAGCCCAGAGAAAUUUGGAUUAAUACCCCGUAAUAUAGUUGAAUGGCAUCAUUUGAUUAUUAUAGCUACGGCGCUUAAUGAUGGGUGUGCGGCUGAUUAGAUAGUUGGCGGGGUAACGGCCCACCAAGUCUACGAUCAGUAGCUGAUGUGAGAGCAUGAUCAGCCACACGGGCACUGAGACACGGGCCAGACUCCUACGGGAGGCAGCAGUAAGGAAUAUUGGUCAAUGGACGCAAGUCUGAACCAGCCAUGCCGCGUGAAGGAUUAAGGUCCUCUGGAUUGUAAACUUCUUUUAUUUGGGACGAAAAAGGGCCUUUCUAGGUCAACUGACGGUACCAGAUGAAUAAGCACCGGCUAACUCCGUGCCAGCCGCCGCCGUAAUAC